rnacentral:rRNA from 1 species
UACGGGGGGGGCAAGCGUUGUUCGGAAUCACUGGGCUUAAAGGGCGCGUAGGCGGGUGCUCAAGUCUGUGGUGAAAUCCUCCGGCUCAACCGGAGAACUGCCAUGGAUACUGGGCGUCUCGAGUGUGGUAGGGGUAUGCGGAACUAUCGGUGGAGCGGUGAAAUGCGUUGAUAUCGAUAGGAACUCCGGUGGCGAAGGCGGCAUACUGGACCACCACUGACGCUGAUGCGCGAAAGCCAGGGGAGCAAACGGG